rnacentral:rRNA from 1 species
GAGUUUGAUCGUGGCUCAGAAUCAACGCUGGCGGCGUGCCUAACACAUGCAAGUCGAACGAGAAAGGGAUUUCGGUCCUGAGUAUAGUGGCGCACGGGGUGAGUAACACGUGAAUGAUCUACCUCCGAGUGGGGAAUAACCAAGAGAAAUCUUGGCUAAUACCGCAUAACACUUACGAGUCAAAGCAGCAAUGCGCUUGGAGAGGAGUUCGCGGCAGAUUAGUUAGUUGGCGGGGUAAUGGCCCACCAAGACGAUGAUCUGUAUCCGGCCUGAGAGGGCGCACGGACACACUGGAACUGAAACACGGUCCAGACUCCUACGGGAGGCAGCAGUGGGGAAUUUUGCGCAAUGGGGGAAACCCUGACGCAGCAACGCCGCGUGGAGGAUGAAGUAUCUUGGUACGUAAACUCCUUUCGAUGGGGAAGAUAAUGACGGUACCCAUAGAAGAAGCCCCGGCUAACUUCGUGCCAGCCGCCGCAGUAAU